ACUACCAACAUGACAAAUGUUUCUCCAGCACCGCUGAAAGGGCAAAUGUCUAGGUCCCGGUCUGGGCCUGUUGCUUCCCAGACCGGGACCUUCCACUCGAAGUAUCCACUACCAACAUGGCAAAUGUUUCUCCAGCACCGCUGAAAGGGCAAAUGUCUAGGUCCCGGUCUGGGCCUGUUGCUUCCCAGACCGGGACCUUCCACUAACAUGGCAAAUGUUUCUCCAGGACCGCUGAAAGGGCAAAUGUCUAGGUCCCGGUCUGGGCCUGUUGCUUCCCAGACCGGGUCCUUCCAGUCGAAGUAUCCACUACCAACAUGGCAAAUGUUUCUCCAGCACCGCUGAAAGGGCAAAUGUCUAGGUCCCGGUCUGGGCCUGUUGCUUCCCAGACCGGGUCCUUCCACUCGAAGUACUACCAACAUGGCAAAUGUUUCUCCAGCACCGCUGAAAGGGCAAAUGUCUAGGUCCCGGUCUGGGCCUGUUGCUUCCCAGACCGGGUCCUUCCACUCGAAGUAUCCACUACCAACAUGGAAUUCUUCUCCAGCACCGCUGAAAGGGCAAAUGUCUAGGUCCCGGUCUGGGCCUGUUGCUUCCCAGACCGGGUUCC